rnacentral:rRNA from 1 species
UUUUUUCUUAUAAGACUUAAGACAUAGCAAGGAGAAGAAGGUCGAGAGUGGACGAGAAAGAAGAGGGAGUUCGAGUAGACUAAGGAGGGCUAGGGGAAGGAGGGAACGAAGCUAGGCCAUCCCAGCAAUGUCUGUUCCCGCCUAAUCAAAAAGUGUCCCUUCGUAUAAUAAACGAGGAGUCAAACACUCAUACCGAGGCACUCACAUCGCAAAACCCGAAACGUUGAGAGUCGAUUCACCAAUAACAAAACUGGUUAGAAUAUAAAACAUAUGGAGAGAAGUGUCACGAUAUAAUACUAAACAAUUCGGUCUAUUUAUAAGAGAAGAACGAUAAGAAGCUCAAUCAUGUACACAUCCCAUGAAGUGUUAUAGUUUAAUAUGUGAAAGUUAUAAUAUAUAGUCACUUCUUUGUUAUGAGGUGGGUUAUGGUACCGACAUCUUAAUUGACUAACCAGCUACGUUAACCAUUUUGUAUUAACAAACAAAGUAAAUGAACGUAACAGUGGACAUCGUUGUGUGCCCGUUUAGGAUAGCCAACCAGGAUAGUUAUGCUUCUGGGUUGUAAUACGGAAACCGAGAAGAAAUAGAAAAAGAGGAGGAGCGGUCUUCGACGUGUGUUCGCCACUUACUCGUCUGAGUACCACCGGUAUCAUUCUCUUCCCCGGCCACUGCUAGACCACCGACUGCACUACCACGUAUAGUGGGAAUAGUUGAACAGGUACCUCUUCCUUCGACCCGUGCGGACGCCCGAUCAGAUACGGAUGACAUAGGCCACAAGACCACGUAGGCCACGCUGGAGUUUCUUAUGCAAGAAGAUCGACUUGAAACUCGAGGAGUCCCUGCUACGGACCCCACCUUCGUCAAGUUGAUGUGCUACUUCUUCACUCACUUCCCCAAUUCUGCCAACGCAACCCGCACGGGACGAACGAACUACCACUCACAACGGAGACACUGAUCCACAAGUAACGACAGAUACGGGAGACAUCAAAUUCCACAAACAAGAAAAUCGUCGGUAAUUUUAUGGCGUUAGCGGGGGUUGGGAUCGCGCGGCGGUGGGUUAGCGGGGGUCGGGGCGCGGCGGCGGCCUCCUUCGGCGGCCCGCUUCGAGCACUCCGACUGCCGCCGCCGCCCCACUGAGGAGCGCCGAGGACAACCCUGACCCCGCCGUCUAGAGCCGCCCUUGGCCACCGCCGGGCCCGCACGCGCCGGGUACCGCAGGCCGCCGCACCACCGCCCAGAGCCGCUCCCCUACAUCCACCACCGCCUCCCCAGCCGGCAAGGGCACUCUCCCCCAGCCGGACUGCUCGAGGCCACCCGCACCGCACGAGCACCGUCGCCGUUAGGCCGCAAGGCCCACCACAGAAGAAGCUCGCCGCGCUCCACCUGUCGCCCGUACACCACCGCCACGACUAGAACCUAGACCGCUCCGUGGUGCCGGGCCACGAUCCGCUAGGCACGUGCGCUACGAACUACCUCCGAGAAGCUUGUCUAGACCCACUUUUGGACGGAGACCGAUCGACGGUUCCGGCCGCCACUGCCGCGACAAUACGCCGCAAGGGAAGAACUUCCGUAGCGGCUCCUCUUCAAGUUCCGGUGGUAGACGAUAGAGGCCCCCUUUGGGAUCUAGUCAUCUAGCCUGCUGCCGCCGCGAUAAAACACAGCAAAGGAGAGCUCCCGCAGUCAGAACCUCCACAAGUGCCCUAGCUCCCUGGUCACCCGCCGAAGAAACCACCUCGCCACGAAGUAGAAUUUGUAACUACCGUCGUCCAGAGCCGUCGCACCACGUCACCUCUGAACCGCGGUCUACGCGCCUCUACCUGAGCGCGUCCUCCUCCAUCGACAGACCGCAGUACCACUGCAGCUACCGCCUCACCGGAUGUGUUCCAUCUUCUGAGUUAUAUAAGACUUCUGCCUGGACACCUUCUACCGACGCUGCUGUGUUCUCACACAGACUGGCCUAACACGGGGUCUGGGCCAUACACCGAGCCGACCCCGAAGGCCGAAAACUACAAUCCAAAUCCACUCACCAAACCCAUCACCGGGUUGAUCGUAGGGAAGUAGUAUACCUAUUCUCAUCGCCGUAUACAACGGCUCUACCACCUAAAUCCUUAUAACAGACAUUAUGAAACAUUCCAGGAGCUUUUAUUAAUUAUUUCACCGGCAUACGUAGAGGGUCUACGUCUCCGGCCCC